UGGACAGGGAAGCUUCCGGGAAGAAAAACCAACUGCGGCUUCUUGGUCAAAAGCCGCCUAGAGUUGGGAGAAUUGUCAUACAAUGGGCUGUAUCAAAAUUCUAGGGUAAAAUUCCUUCUUCAAACCAACUACAGAAUGCCUAUAAUUCUUGCUUCCCCUUGUCUUCAUCGCAAAGAGUCAACGUUGACACGAUAGCUAAGCCCUACACCUGCUGGGCUGUAUGAGAGCUGGGUAUAGGACUUGGCUGUGCAUUCCCAGCCACUUGUUUACACAAAAUUCAACAACUAGGAUAUUUCUAGCAUUCACUGGACACGGCAAUAUCCUCUGCUAGGCAAGGUUCUGCUUUCUACCUCCGACGAUGAAUGGUUUUCCAGCAAAGUUUAUGCUGGUUAUUGCAGCACUAGUGUUGCUUCUCAUGGGGGAGUUCCAAGCAACAUGUGCUUUUCUUCGCGGUAGGUAAUUAGCUAGUUACAUUAAUGACCUUAUGCUUUAUCUGGUAAUUUAAUUAAUUAAUUUCUUGCUUGCUUGCUGUGAUUUUCUUUAUAUGGCUAGCUGAAGCUGAUCAAGGUAUUGUGAAGAGUACUUUGUCGCAUGUUGACUGUACAAGAGAUGGCUUGAGAAAGAUAAAUACUGGAAGAAAAGAAGGUAGCUUUGGAUCAUGUCAAACUGACAUUUUUGGCAAGAAAAUAGUGACCAUCCGACGCAACCUAAGACCAUUGAAAGGGCCCAAGCCACCUUCUCCCACCAAAAACUUCCCUCCGCACUUCCGACGUCCUGAUCUGCCUCUUCCACCGUCACCACCUCCACCAUCAUUCAACGAUACUUACUCUCCGGAAUCCUAAGUAAUGUUACACAGUACUGCAUCAUUUGGUAUACAAAUUUGAUGAAUAAAUUUAGUGCGUUUAGCAUUACUCAUCAUAUGUACUUAAUUAAUCUAUUCCCUAGGCAAGUAAUUGUAUUUUAACUUGUUGCCUCAUCUGCAAGUCCAUUAAUUUAGCACCAAAUUUAUACAAGUAUCUGUAAUAAAAAGUAUCGUCUAUAAAUCUUGCUUCCUUGUGCCUUCUUCAUGUCACAGAAUUUACAGUUCGCAACAACUAUAAGUUGCUGGUUCUGUUUCAGAAAAUGAAUGGUUUUCCAGCAAAAUUUACAGUACUUGCAGCCGCCGUGUUGCUUGUUUUGGGGGAUUUUGCAGCAACUUCUGCCUUUAUUCCAGUUGGUAAUGGUUUUUCAUGUUAGUAGUUAUUGGGUUUGAGAAUUUCA
rnacentral:lncRNA from 1 species